CUCACGGAACUACUGACAGGGAUGAGCCUCACUGUAUGGGACACCAACUCACAGGCAGCACAGAAGCCCUCACAGGGGCAGAAGCCCUCAAGGCUGAGGACAGAUUCAAAUCCAACUCUGUCUUGAGCAUGGAAUCACUAAUAAAGCAGAUGGAAAUACAGGCAAAAAGAAAACGGAGUUGUCCGGAGCACCCUGGUAAAAAGCUUUGGUGCACCCCACGCAGCAAGUGGUCCCAGCGUACAGCCACAGUGCAAAGUGAAGUAGCUGGAAAGCCCCAGAGAAGAGAAGGGGCUGGUUUAAUGAGCGAGAAUCGUUCAUCCUUGAAGGAGACCAGCUGAAGACUUUACCGAGGCGAGCAUUACGUUUUCUUCCUGCAACAAAGAAAUUUUGAGGCUCUCUAGAACCCUCUUCUGUGUUCUGUAUUUUUGCCUAUUUCAUUUUUCUGCCUCUGAAUCUGUACAUCUCCACAAAUUUAAAAAGAAUAAAGGUGAGGCUGUGGUCUG
rnacentral:lncRNA from 1 species